GUUUGAUCCUGGCUCAGAUUAAACGCUGGCGGCAUGCCUUACACAUGCAAGUCGAACGGCAGCACGGGGCAACCUGGUGGCGAGUGGCGAACGGGUGAGUAAAGCAUCGGAACGUGCCCUGGAGUGGGGGAUAACGUAGCGAAAGUUACGCUAAUACCGCAUAUUCUGUGAGCAGGAAAGCAGGGGAUCGCAAGACCUUGCGCUCUGGGAGCGGCCGAUGUCGGAUUAGCUAGUUGGUGGGGUAAAGGCCUACCAAGGCGACGAUCCGUAGCGGGUCUGAGAGGAUGAUCCGCCACACUGGGACUGAGACACGGCCCAGACUCCUACGGGAGGCAGCAGUGGGGAAUUUUGGACAAUGGGCGGAAGCCUGAUCCAGCCAUGCCGCGUGAGUGAAGAAGGCCUCGG
rnacentral:rRNA from 1 species